UACGAAGGGGGCGAGCGUUGUUCGGAAUUACUGGGCGUAAAGGGCACGUAGGCGGCCGAUCAAGUCAGAUGUGAAAGUCCUGGGCUUAACCUGGGGACUGCAUUUGAUACUGAUUGGCUUGAAUGCAGGAGAGGAUAGCGGAAUUCCCAGUGUAGAGGUGAAAUUCGUAGAUAUUCGCAAGAACGCCAGUGGCGAAGGCGGCUCACUGGCCCGAUACUGACGCUGAGGUGCGAAAGCGUGGGGAGCAAACAGG
rnacentral:rRNA from 1 species